rnacentral:rRNA from 1 species
UACGUAGGGUGCAAGCGUUAAUCGGAAUUACUGGGCGUAAAGCGUGCGCAGGCGGUUGUGUAAGUCUGACGUGAAAUCCCCGGGCUUAACCUGGGAAUGGCGUUGGAGACUGCACGGCUAGAGCGUGUCAGAGGGGGGUAGAAUUCCACGUGUAGCAGUGAAAUGCGUAGAUAUGUGGAGGAAUACCGAUGGCGAAGGCAGCCCCCUGGGAUAACACUGACGCUCAUGCACGAAAGCGUGGGGAGCAAACAGG